rnacentral:rRNA from 1 species
AGGACGAACGCUGGCGGCGUGCUUAACACAUGCAAGUCGAGCGGAAAGGCCCUUCGGGGUACUCGAGCGGCGAACGGGUGAGUAACACGUGAGCAACCUGCCCCUGGCUCUGGGAUAGCCUCCGGAAACGGGGAUUAAUACCGGACAUUCACUUCCUUCCGCAUGGUUGGUGGUGGAAAGUUUUUCGGCCGGGGAGGGGCUCGCGGUCUAUCAGCUUGUUGGCGGGGUAACGGCCCACCAAGGCGACGACGGAUA